rnacentral:ncRNA from 1 species
UUAAGUGGGAGCCGUAUGAUGGGAGACUAUCACGUACGGUUCUGCGAGAGACUAAGGCUGAAAUUAGAGUUUGUAAAUAAAAUUGUGUAAAUGCUUAUUUAUU